rnacentral:rRNA from 1 species
GACGAACGCUGGCGGCGUGCUUAACACAUGCAAGUAGAACGGAAGGGCCCUGCUUUUGUGGGGUGCUCGAGUGGCGAACGGGUGAGUAACACGUGAGUAACCUGCCCUUGACUUUGGGAUAACUUCAGGAAACUGGGGCUAAUACCGGAUAGGAGCUCCUGCUGCAUGGUGGGGGUUGGAAAGUUUCGGCGGUUGGGGAUGGACUCGCGGCUUAUCAGCUUGUUGGUGGGGUAGUGGCUUACCAAGGCUUUGACGGGUAGCCGGCCUGAGAGGGUGACCGGCCACAUUGGGACUGAGAUACGGCCCAGACUCCUACGGGAGGCAGCAGUGGGGAAUAUUGCACAAUGGGCGGAAGCCUGAUGCAGCAACGCCGCGUGCGGGAUGACGGCCUUCGGGUUGUAAACCGCUUUCGCCUGUGACGAAGCGUGAGUGACGGUAAUGGGUAAAGAAGCACCGGCUAACUACGUG